rnacentral:sRNA from 1 species
ACUCCCUUCCCCACCCUCUUCGUUUCGGUGUUUGUGGUCGCGAACUCGACAAGGGGAGUAACUACACUUGGCUAUGAGAUUGCUGGAGACAGCAGGAACAUUUCUUCUAUGCAGUGUGGCCUUCACUAUAGUGGAUGGACUUCGAUGUUUGGCUUGUCGAGGACAGAAUGUCUACGAGUGUAUUAGAAGUGCCAUGAUCACUGUAUGCAGCCAGGGAGAGCUCUGCCGCUUCAGAAAAGUGAAUCGAUUCCUGGGGCCCAAGAAGAUAUGGUUCGAGGCAGAAUGUGCCAGCAGAGACGUCUGCCGGCAGCCGGAUACGUUCGAAAGCGCUCACUUCUGCUGUAGAGUUAGUUAUUGUAAUUACCUCCCCGCCGGAAGAUAGGCCUUAGCAAUGCUGGUGGCGAUAUUGUUUACGUGUGUGUAAUGUGUAUGUCUCUGUGUCCCUGCGUGCGUGCGUGUCUGAAGAAUAUUUAUUAUUCUGGAAUGAGAGUUUUAAAGAGUUAUUUUUAAAUACUUUCACAAUGCUUUUCAUUUUCUUGUAGGCCUAUAAUUUUAGUCAAUACAUUGUAAACCUAUUUUUGUUCAUUCAAAUUUCAUGCAUUUAGAUCUAGACACCACGACAAAUGGGUGCGCAGCCAUAAUGCAUCACCCAUUUACUGCUCUAGAAGUAUAAAAGGCAUUUUUAUUUAAAACACGUUUAGUAUGCCUUGCUUGGGGCAUUAGUUUAUAAUAAGAUUCAACACCUGUAUUGGUCCCAAACAAAUGAAGCAGACAAGGGCGAAAACCGAAGAGAAAAUGUAAAUCAUAGGAUAAAA